rnacentral:rRNA from 1 species
AGCCCGGGGAAACUCGGAUUAAUACCGUAUACCUCCUUUGGGAGAAAGAGGGCCUCUCUUUGAUGCUCUCGCUACUAGAUGAGCCUGCGUAAGAUUAGCUAGUUGGUGAGGUAAUGGCUCACCAAGGCGACGAUCUUUAGCUGGUCUGAGAGGACGAUCAGCCACAUCGGGACUGAGACACGGCCCAGACUCCUACGGGAGGCAGCAGUAGGGAAUAUUGGACAAUGAGCGCAAGCUUGAUCCAGCCAUACCGCGUGUGUGAAGAAGGCUUUCGGGUUGUAAAGCACUUUAAGCAGGGAGAAAAAGUUAUAGGCUAAUACCCUAUGACCGUGAUGUUACCUGCAGAAUAAGCACCGGCUAAUUCCGUGCCAGCAGCUGCGGUAAUACGGAAGGUGCAAGCGUUAAUCGGAAUUACUGGGCGUAAA